CCUACGGGCGGCAGCAGUGGGGGAUAUUGCACAAUGGGGGGAACCCUGAUGCAGCGACGCCGCGUGGGUGAAGAAGCGCCUCGGCGCGUAAAGCCCUGUCAGCAGGGAAGAAAAUGACGGUACCUGAAGAAGAAGCCACGGCUAACUACGUGCCAGCAGCCGCGGGAAUACGUAGGGGGCAAGCGUUAUCCGGAUUUACUGGGUGUAAAGGGGGCGAAGACGGCGAUGAAAGCCAGGAGGUAAAGCCCGGGGCCCAACCCCGGGACUGCUCUUGGAACUGCGUGGCUGGAGUGCAGGAGGGGCAGGCGGAAUUCCUGGUGUAGCGGUGAAAUGCGUAGAUAUCAGGAGGAACACCGGUGGCGAAGGCGGCCUGCUGGACUGCAACUGACGUUGAGGCCCGAAAGCGUGGGGAGCAAACAGGAUUAGAUACCCUGGUAGUC
rnacentral:rRNA from 1 species